AUUCACCGAUUGAACCCGCUUCGUAUAACCCCACUGAUAGGGUGUGGGGGUCUCUACCAGAAUCCGUAAAAUUCUGAUUACGAAGAGUGAAGCCGAUUAA
rnacentral:ncRNA from 1 species